AUCACAUGCUCAAAUUUGGAAGAAGCCUCCAGUGGUUUGAUUUCGUAAGUGAAGUCAUCCACCUGCAGCAUGCCACGCAGACCUCCAUAGCAGGUGUCCAGUGUGCCCAUGGACCCAGGAACCCCUUCCAGAACUAACGGAUGACUACCAGAAGCCAGGAAUACUAGACGAAACCUCUUAGGGAAAGCAUCUCUGACACAGCUGGAGAUGAGAAUCCAUACAUUGCCCCAUUUCUAGCUGGCUUCCUGAAGAGUUUGUCAAGAAGGGCACAAGAGAGAAUAAAUGACAAAAGGAGACGACAAGGAACUCUACCUGUUUGCCUGCAGCUACUUGCAGUGACCCUCCUGCACCUUGCUCUUGUGGCAGGAGUUGGGUACUACAUUCCCAGACCCAGCUCCAUCAAGCCCUAUCAAAGGUACCCAGUGGACAAUGCUCCCUCAUCAGAAGUCUCAGAACCAGACGGACAGAGCCUCCCAUAGUACCCUGGGCAACCCACACCAGUUAGCCACUGCCUCUUCCUCAGAUGUUCCAGGUUAUACCACAAAGUUCCUUGACACAAGCCCCAUGCAGGUAGCACCUCUCAGAGAUCUGAGUCCGAGUUUUGGAGGACCUUCUUCCAAGUCCCUAAGGAACCAGCACAAGCUCAGCAUUACCUUACAAGAGGUACAGCUAUCAACUCCACACUACCCCUUUUUUCAGUUCCUAAAUUACCAGCAUCACCUAGACUGGUAAUGCCCUAUCUUCUACAGUCCAGGUCCAGAUCUAUGAGGCUCAUUAUGAGAGCUUCUAGGUUAUGACAACCCCAACCUCUCCCCUUUGUUCCCCCAAUCUUAGGGGUGGAACUCCUUCUGGCAACUCAUACUUCUGUGUACCUCCGUUGUUCCCCUUUUACCUUUUCAGUCCUCUAAUACCAUUUCAAGAAUUCCCUAUAUUAAUUAUUCUUGGUGGGUUUCUCUUUUCUGGAUUAGAUCUUGACAGAUACAGGACCUGGUACCAAGAUGCUGUCAAGAGGGACAGACAGAAUGGGACUCUCAGAUUGACCUGGACAUGCCCAUGGCCUUAACACACUGCUGAACUCCUGCUGAAUGGGGAAUAAGCAUGUAGUAGUAUCACAAUUAAUUUAAUUACCACUUAAUGUUGACUGUGAAGUGCUCUAUUGAACCAAGUGUGUGGGGGACCAAGGGAGGGCUGUGAUGAUGCCUGUAAGCAUCUCAAGGACUGAGAGGUGGAAUUGCCAUACUGCAUUCUAAUGUAGAUUUUGCACAAUGAGACAAUGAGGCUCAAGGUUCUAAAUUCUCAGCUCAGAUCGCUGAUAACGGUGGACCUAAAACAAUCUCUCAUUUAUUUUAGCCACAGGGCCAAUUUCAAAGGAAAUCAAAAUUUAACUGUGGAGUUACAGAAUCACAGCAUAAGUUGAAAACUGAAGUAGGAAAUUUGAUUGAGAAAGGAAAAACCUUGACAUUUGAAAACAGGAAUUCCAGGUGGACUGGGUUGGUUCUGAGUAUCCAAAUCCUCCCAAGCAUCUCUGAGUCUCCCUUACCAGGGAGGGAGCCUUGACCUCUCCUAUAUGAGAAGUCUAGCCACCUCCAGCUGGAGAGAUUGUAAUUAGCUCAGGAAAUUAUCCUGCUAGUGUAUGACUAGUGUCUUCGAGACAUACUCCUACUGCCCUUUAUCGGCUCUAAGUGUAAAUCAGAAUCUAAUUCAACAUGCUCCAGAGGAACAGGUUCAACAUCUGAAUGGAGAGGAAAGGACUUCUACUCUAAAACAAUGACAAUAGUUUACUAAUUUAUAUUGGCAAAAGAAAGGAAACAAAUUAUAUUAAUUAUAGAAAAGAUGAAGUACUUACAUAUAAAGAUAUGUUUAAUAUGGUAAAACUCAACAGGAAUUUGUACCUACUUAACAAAUAGCUUUGAGAUACAGAAAGCAAAUGUUGACAGAACAAAAACGAGAAAGAGAAAAAUUCAGAAUCUACUUGUAGGUAUUAACACACUCCUUUCAGCAAUGGAUAGAUCAGAUCCAAAAAAAAAAAAUGAAGAAGUAGAAGAUUUAAGCAAAGUUAAUCAAAUUAACCUCACUGACACAUAUAAAACUCUACAGGCAAAAAUGGAGAAUACUCGUUAGGUUCAAAUGCACACGAUAUUUACCAAAAUAGAUGAUACCCGUGGUCAUAAGGGAAGUCUUAACAAAUGGUAAUUAAAUUUGCAUAAUGUAUGUUCCUGACCUGUGGAAUUAAAAAAUAAAAUUGUAUAAAAGAAAAAGAACUAGACAAUAGUCAUUUGCUUCAAAGUUAAAGAACAGCCAGUCUUCUAAAUA